AUCUCUACAGGAUGUUGUAAUACCCCAAUGUGAUGACCUUUCCUCUGUACUCUCAAACAGGCUACUGCAGUCACCUCUAUGGGAAUUAAGGAAAAGUCGUAUCUAUCACCAACACUUCAGAAGAAGAAGGCUGUCUCACCAUCCUCACUUCUGGCCAUAAAACAUCUCCCUUAAUUUUGUCCCAUGUUAAAGUUCCAUCACACCAAUGAGAAUAUCAAGUAACAUCACACAAUACAGAAAACAACAUGGAGUCAGAAGAAGCAAACACAACCCCAGCCCACCCCACCCCUACUCCAUCAAUCAGCUCUGGGGUUAGAGAGAGCUGCCACAGGAAGACAGCUGCAGAUGAGCCGGAUGGAGCUCACCACAGCCUCUCCUUGCCCUUCCAGCCUUCGGGAUAAUAACAGACAGGUUUCUGAGGAGUGUAAGCUGACAAGAUUAAUGCAGAUU
rnacentral:lncRNA from 1 species